rnacentral:piRNA from 1 species
UAUGGAAAAUUUCAGACUGCUAG